rnacentral:rRNA from 1 species
UACAGGGGGUGCAAACGUUGCUCGGAAUCAUUGGGCGUAAAGCGCACGUAGGCGGUCUGUUAUGUCGGAUGUGAAAGCCCUUGGCUCAACUGAGGAAGUGCAUCCGAAACUGGCAGGUUAGAGUACUAAAGAGGGUCGCGGAAUUCCCGGUGUAGAGGUGAAAUUCGUAGAUAUCGGGAGGAACACCGGUGGCGAAGGCGGCGACCUGGGUAGAUACUGACGCUGAGGUGCGAAAGCGUGGGGAGCAAACAGG